rnacentral:rRNA from 1 species
GACGAACCGUGCGAACGUUGUUCGGAAUCACUGGGCUUAAAGGGCGCGUAGGCGGCAGUUCAAGUCUGGGGUGAAAGCCUCCCGCUCAACGGGAGAAGUGCCUUGGAAACUGGAUUGCUCGAGGGAGGUAGGGGUCGCGGGAACUUCGGGUGGAGCGGUGAAAUGCGUUGAUAUCCGAAGGAACGCCGGUGGCGAAAGCGCGUGACUGGACCUCUUCUGACGCUGAGGCGCGAAAGCCAGGGGAGCGAACGGG